rnacentral:rRNA from 1 species
AUUGAACGCUGGCGGCAUGCUUUACACAUGCAAGUCGAACGGUAACAGGCCGCAAGGUGCUGACGAGUGGCGAACGGGUGAGUAAUGCAUCGGAACGUGCCCAGUCGUGGGGGAUAACUACUCGAAAGAGUAGCUAAUACCGCAUACGAUCUAUGGAUGAAAGCGGGGGACCGUAAGGCCUCGCGCGAUUGGAGCGGCCGAUGUCGGAUUAGGUAGUUGGUGGGGUAAAGGCUCACCAAGCCAACGAUCUGUAGCUGGUCUGAGAGGACGACCAGCCACACUGGGACUGAGACACGGCCCAGACUCCUACGGGAGGCAGCAGUGGGGAAUUUUGGACAAUGGGCGCAAGCCUGAUCCAGCAACGCCGCGUGCAGGAAGAAGGCCUUCGGGUUGUAAACUGCUUUUGUACGGAACGAAACGGCUCUGGUUAAUACCCGGGGCUAAUGACGGUACCGUAAGAAUAAGCACCGGCUAACUACGUG